GAUGAAGAACGCAGCGAAAUGCGAUAAGUAGUGUGAAUUGCAGAAUUCAGUGAAUCAUCGAAUCUUUGAACGCGCAUUGCGCCCCUUGGUAUCCCGAGGGGCAUGCCUGUUCGAGCGUCAUUUCACCACUCAAGCCUGGCUUGGUGUUGGGCGACGUCCCCUUUAGGGACGCGCCUCGAAACGCUCGGCGGCGCGGCACCGGCUUUAAGCGUAGCAGAAUCUUUCGCUUUGGAAGUCGGGGCCCCGCCUGCCGGAAUACCUACUUGUAAGGUUGACCUCGGAUCAGGCAGGGAUACCCGCUGAACUUAAGCAUAUCAAUAAGCGGAGGA
rnacentral:misc_RNA from 1 species